rnacentral:lncRNA from 1 species
UGUCGCCCCCGAUGAUCCUGAUCUCUGGCGUGAUCUCAAUCCGCACAAAUGGCUGUACUUUGAUGGGUUGAAUGAUCUGAGUCUGCGAGGAGGUGGCACCAUUGAUGGAAAAGGAGAGAGAUGGUGGGGCCAGUCCUGCAAGAUCAACAAGAACAAUGUGAGAACCAGUUCCAUCAGUUCAUCUCACUUCUCUGUCUAAACUUCAUGAAUAGGGUUUCUCUUUCAGAAUGAACGCUUGAGCAAAAAAAUUCUUGGUUUCUUCUUGGCAGCCAUGCAGAUCUGCUCCUACGGUCAGCAAAACCAGCGAUCUCAUCCUGAUUUUCGAUGAAUUCCUUGGAUUUCUAUGAACUGGGUUUCAAAAAAAGAUCUCAGUGGCUGAAGUAAAUGAUAUUACAGGCAAUUAAUUUUCAUAGGUGCAAGAAUCUGAGAAUACAGAAUCUCACGCUACUAAACAGUCAAAGGAUGCACAUCGCCCUUACUAACUGCACUGGAGUGAAGGUGUCUGGUCUUCGAGUGAUUGCUCCUGCUGAUAGCCCAAACACUGACGGCAUCCACAUAAGUUCUUCAGUUCAUGUAGAGAUCAAGAACAGUGAAAUUAAGACGGGUAUGGAAUGUUAGACUCGCUGGGCUUGUUAUCCUUUAUUUUUCAUGUCGAGUUCAUGAUAUUUUUCCAUGGAUAUUAAAAAAAAAAUCAAUUUCUCUCUCUUUUCUUCAGGAGAUGACUGCAUCUCCAUAGUGUCUGAGUCCUCGAUGGUGAAGAUCAGAGAUAUUAGUUGCGGACCUGGCCACGGGAUAAGGUGGGGUUUCCCCACCUCCAAACUGGUGCAGACCCCACACACUUUGAGCAAAUAAAGCUAACCUAAUUGAUUUUUUCCUUCAGUAUUGGCAGCCUGGGGAAGCACGGAUCAUGGUCUAAUGUGAGCAGCAUCCAAGUGAACAGGGUGACCUUCGCCAAUACUACAAAUGGGUUCAGAAUCAAGACAUGGCAGGUGAAGUGUUCUAAAAUUGGAAAUUCUUUAAUCCAUACCUGCUGUCUUGAAUACCGAUGAAUGAGCCAUGACAACCAGGGAGGAAGAGGGUUUGCCCGCAAAAUUUAUUUCCAGAAUGCCGCCAUGGAAAACGUCUCAAAUCCGAUCGUCAUCAACCAAUAUUACUGCGACUCCUUGCGC